UCAUUAUUUUCUUAAUGGAGCCUUCUUAAAGUUACCAUAUAAUACCGCUAAACAAUUUGGUUUCUUCCAAGUAUGACGUAAGUUUUCCUACUCGUUCGUAGUCGUCGAAACAUUCUUCGACGGUAUUACACAUUUUUCACAUUAUCUCCGAUAUCGUCGCACCGCUGGACAUUCUAAAUAUAUAUUUUCGUCCGGUUUUGUUUCUAUCCGGUAAAAUAAAAUAAAGGCAGAGACACAGGCACACAUCGAAGUAGGAAAUUUGUUAUCGGCCGGGUCCCACACGUAGCGCACACACAGAUGUGUGACGAAACGUUUCGAGCACGCUCGAAUCGUUGAUGGGCUGAUCGGUAACGAGGGACGCGAGCUAACUGGCUAACCAGCACGUAGGAGAAAGACGGGCGGGCGGGCGAACGGCGUCGCCGACGCGGCCUGCUUUUCGGCCCAGAGUUUUUCCCCGUGGAACGUAGCCUCUCCUAACGCCGCGAGCACCGGAGCUAUUGAUGAAAGGUGAGGGGGAAUCGAUCCGCUAUACCCGUGUACUGGGUGUCCCGUUUUCGGCCCCGCGAGCAAUUCGCGGAAUCCCCGACGUUUCGGGAAUCACCGGGUAUCCGUGGCCGCCGCCGUAUUUCCCGAUCGUACUCGGUGCUCCGACAAUUACGCGGCUAUUUCGUUAUUACGCGCGACAACGCGUCAAAGACAUUUCAAGGACAUUCCAGGCGACAAUGGAAAGAAAAAUUCCCUAGUGAUUCGCGUUUUCUGCGGUGUGUUUCGGCUCUUCGGGAUUGACAAAUCGCGUUCGCGAAUGCGUUUACAGAGGCGAAGCGAGGCGACGGAUGUUAUUAAGGUUAUGCCGAGGUUAUGUUUGAUGUGCAGCGCGCGAGUGUCACUUAAAGUCGCGUAACCAGGAAUUCCGCAGAUUUGCCGCUUGUAAAAUUGUGCGAUAAUUGUAGAAGAAGGAGUAAUUUAAGUAUAUUAAAACAACAGCUUGAAGGAUAGUGCUUAGAGAAAAUAGGGCUUUUGAAUCAUUUUUAAUUUUACGAGAGGUUGAUUAUUGUACAACUGUCGUACAGUUCUUUGAUGGAACGUGCGUGGAAUGAAUUGGUGCACGAUUUUAAGUGACAGUCACAGUAUCUGAACGUUUUUGGGGUUAGAGAAACGAUUCGAGGGCCAGUAGAAAGGACAGAGAGGCUGAAAUCUCUUCUCAAUACCGAGAUAAACACAGAUUUGUAUCUAUUUACUGGAAAGUAAGCACAAGUUCUUGUGCACUGUUGUGUAGCUAUUUUGGGAAUCGAAGUUCUAAAGCUUUCAAUAUAUUCUGAGAUCGUUGAGUUAAUGACAUAACCUAUUUGACAUAAAAAUAAAAUAAAGAUAAUCAGAAGAUCGUGAACGGAAUAAAUAAACAAACCCAAUAACUGCAGUAUUGAAUAUAAAAGACAUUAAAAAUUCCAAAGUAAAAGUAAAAAAACCGAGUAAAAUCUCUAAUAUUUUCUUCUACAAUUCCUGAUGUCAGAGAAAUACUUCUAUAAGAAAUUAUUAGAAACAUUCAUUGAAGACGUA